UUCCCGGUGUCGAAACUCGACAUCGCCGUCGCCAUCUUAAUUGGUAACGACGGGCGAUAAGGCGCAGGGGGAAACCACGUCAUGUGAGGUGAGGCGCAUGCGCAGCGGCCAUGUUCGCGGGCCCGUGAUCACAUGACACCAGGUUAGACGCUAAUAGGUCUAUUUAAAAUCACGAGCUUGCCAACGGCCGGCCCCUCGUCACGUGACAAGUGACCCCGACCAGAAUUAAUGGACACAGAGAGGGAGAUACCGGACAGAUAGUAGGUAAUCAGGUGUGUUGAUGUGAGCAAUGCAUUCAACGUAACCUACUUGGACUUCACCAAGACUUUUGAUAAAAUCCCCCGUAGAAGACUGAUGCAGAAGGAAGAGUCCAUAAUACCCAAGGAAAUUUGUCUGGUUGGAUCCAAAACUGGCUGACUGGCAGUUAAGAGUUAGCCACAUUGCUGUGGGUCUGGAGUCACAUGUAGACCACACCAGAUGCAUGCUCCAGCGGGAGACUUUCACAUUGUAGAUUGUUUGAAUGAAUCUGGAUUGGCUCAAAGUUUCCAUAAAGCUUUUUAGCUCGGAUGCUGGCUGUCGUACUUAUGGGAUAUUAGGAGAAGAUUCACUGUCAGGAAACUGCAACCAAACAUUACAUCAGGAUUUCAUGGUGUCGCCCACUUUGUUGUAACCUGAAUCUCAUUGGGUUUUGAACAUGGAAGGAGAAAGCGUUGCUAACAGAGAUGAGAAACUGUACGCAUGUUGCCUGUGUACACAAGCAUUCAGCCGAUCAUCUGACCUCUCGAAACAUAAACGGAGCCAUAAGGAGAAACCAUGGAAAUGUGGGGACUGUGGAAAGGGAUUCCGAUCUCCAACUGAACUGGAAACUCAUCGGCGGAGUCACACUGAGGAAAGGCCAUUCACCUGCUCAGAGUGUGGCAAGGGAUUCACUCAGAAAUCCCACUUGCUGCGACACCAGCGUGUUCAUACUGGGGAGAGACCAUUCUCCUGCUCUGAGUGUGGGCAGGGAUUCACUAACUCCUCCAACCUGCUGAUACACCAGCGAGUACACACUGGGGAGAGGCCAUUCAUCUGCUCUACAUGUGGGAAGGGAUUCACUUUGGCAUCCAGCCUCCAGACGCAUCAGCGAAUUCACACGAGGGAAAAGCCAUUCACCAGUUCCUAGUGUGGGUAGGGAGCCCCAAGCAGCUGUAGAGCCCUGUGUGGACUUAUGGGAAAUUGGUCCGAUUCUGUUGAUUUACAACACAUUGGAUAUUGUUUUCAGUUCAGAAUAAUCAAGGAUUAAUUUUAGUUGAAAAAUCUAGAGAUUGAAAGUUUUAUUCAGUUUGAAGGAAAUCUGACUGGGCUCAGAAUCCAGUUCAGUUUCUGUGCGGCAUAGAGCUCGGAACAAUUCAGGAAAAGCUGCCACCUCCAGUAGAAUAGUGUAGUUUGUGCAACCUGCCAUCCAGGAGUGUCUGAUUUUAGUUCUGAAAGUUUUAGAGACAGAAAAUAUUUAACAUCUGAAAUUUGAGAGUAUUUGUGAAAGAAACUUCUAUAGUUUACAGGGAAAGUCUGGGCCAAAUUAAUUUGGAUACAGAUUUGAUAGUGAGGUGUAAUUUCUCUGUGUACAUUACCUGUGUGCUGGCAUCAAUCAGGAGGGCUAAUCGAAUAUCUGUCCUUAUUUCAUGAGGGGU